rnacentral:rRNA from 1 species
CCUACGGGAGGCAGCAGUGAGGAAUAUUGGUCAAUGGACGAGAGUCUGAACCAGCCAAGUAGCGUGAAGGAUGACUGCCCUAUGGGUUGUAAACUUCUUUUAUAUGGGAAUAAACUGUUCCACGUGUGGGAUUUUGUAUGUACCAUAUGAAUAAGGAUCGGCUAACUCCGUGCCAGCAGCCGCGGUAAUACGGAGGAUCCGAGCGUUAUCCGGAUUUAUUGGGUUUAAAGGGAGCGUAGGUGGAUUGUUAAGCCAGUUGUGAAAGUUUGCGGCUCAACCGUAAAAUUGCAGUUGAAACUGGGAGUCUUGAGUACGGUAGAGGUGGACGGAAUUCGUGGUGUAGCGGUGAAAUGCUUAGAUAUCACGAAGAACUCCGAUUGCGAAGGCAGCUCACUGGACUGCAACUGACACUGAGGCUCGAAAGUGUGGGUAUCAAACAGGAUUAGAUACCCGGGUAGUC